rnacentral:rRNA from 1 species
UACGGAGGGAGCAAGCGUUACUCGGAAUUAUUGGGCGUAAAGGGCGCGUAGGCGAUUUGAAAAGUCUUGUGUGAAAGCCCCGAGCUUAACUCGGGAAGUGCACAAGAAACUGUUGAAUUUGAGUUCCGGAGAGGAAGGCAGAAUUCCCGGUGUAGCGGUGAAAUGCGUAGAUAUCGGGAGGAAUACCAGUGGCGAAGGCGGCCUUCUGGACGGAUACUGACGCUGAGGCGCGAAAGCCAGGGGAGCAA